GUUCUAGUGGCCUAGUGGUUAGAACGUCCGCCUCGAAUGCGGGAGGUAGUGGGUUUGAACGCCGGCCGAAUCAUACCAAAGACA